GUCGAACGGUAACAGGAAGCAGCUUGCUGCUUCGCUGACGAGUGGCGGACGGGUGAGUAAUGUCUGGGAAACUGCCUGAUGGAGGGGGAUAACUACUGGAAACAGUAGCUAAUACCGCAUAACGUCGCAAGACCAAAGAGGGGGACCUUCGGGCCUCUUGCCAUCGGAUGUGCCCAGAUGGGAUUAGCUAGUAUGUGGGGUAACGGCUCACCUAGGCGACGAUCCCUAGCUGGUCUGAGAGGAUGACCAGCCACACUGGAACUGAGACACGGUCCAGACUCCUACGGGAGGCAGCAGUGGGGAAUAUUGCACGAUGGGCGCAAGCCUGAUGCAGCCAUGCCGCGUGUAUGAAGAAGGCCUUCGGGUUGUAAAGUACUUUCAGCGGGGAGGAAGGCGACAGGGUUAAUAACCCUGUCGAUUGACGUUACCCGCAGAAGAAGCACCGGCUAACUCCGUGCCAGCAGCCGCGGUAAUACGGAGGGUGCAAGCGUUAAUCGGAAUUACUGGGCGUAAAGCGCACGCAGGCGGUCUGUCAAGUCGGAUGUGAAAUCCCCGGGCUCAACCUGGAAACUGCAUUCGAAACUGGCAGGCUAGAGUCUCGUAGAGGGGGGUAGAAUUCCAGGUGUAGCGGUGAAAUGCGUAGAGAUCUGGAGGAAUACCGGUGGCGAAGGCGGCCUCCUGGACAAAGACUGACGCUCAGGUGCGA
rnacentral:rRNA from 1 species